AAUGAAAAACGAUGUUUGAUGCAGAGAAGGAUACAGCAAAAGCUUAAUAUCACAUUCAAAUCAGUGAAUCGGCUGAUGUGAUUUUGGACGGUUACGACAAUUGAUUGCUCCAUACUCAGAAGAGUUAUAAUUUGCGUUAUUGCACAGUUGACAAUGUUGACGGUUGUGAUCACCACAAAGAGGUUGUUGAAAAAUCUGCUGUGAUCUUCCUGGAUCCCAAGAAUCUUGAGCUUGUUGCUAACGAUGCACAACUUGUUCAUUACUUCAAUGGUAUCUUUGUGCAUACUUAGAAACGUGAUCAGAGCGGAAAACGUACACAGACGUUUCCCAAAAUAGUACACCAGCUGGACGUUUCUAUCUAUCGUUGUCGAAUCCCCUUCAACAGACUUCAUAAUUCUGUAAGUCGUUAUGAAUGACACGAGUAAAUUACAGGUAGCAAAGACGAACGGAUACAGUCUCCCCGGAAGUGUGGACGGUGAAAUGAACUCACACCGUACGGCGCAAGUGGUCUUUACUCGAACCUUUGCAGUGCCAAUACCGGAUACUAUACUACUGAACAGCUCAGAGUCGAGUGGCGUAACAUCGACGUACGCAGAAAUGCAGAAAUUCUGAAGAGAGGGUGACAAUCAGAAUCCAUCCGAACAGUCGUAAACCUUUUCACACAUUGGCUAGUAUCGAUUGGUAAUAACAUCACAAAUCAUGCAAAGUCAAGGAUAACGUAGGCUUGAUAACUUCGUCACUGGGCCCUACGAAGAUAAUACCUGAAAAUAAGACUGGAAAUGAUCAACACAAAAUUGUACACGUAAUCAGUGAUGUGAUAGAUCGAAGGACUCGAUGAAGUGUGCUUUAUUAAAACCAUUUCAGCACUCCUAACAAAAUAAUAUCAACAGACUUAUGGAUCGGGGAGUGCAGAAUAAAGGAAUUAAUAAAGCGAGAAAUGAUGAUGAAUGAAUUACAAUAUAGAAUUUUUCGAGGAACUAUAUUCGCAAGUAAUUAGAGUGCGUAUGUGUCAUUUAAUAAUUAUCAUCUAUCACGUAUUUAAUAUGAACAUCUAUUUACCUUGCAGAUAACAUUAUUUUCUAUACAUUGGUUUGUCAUUUUUAUUCAAUUCUUAAUAUUUCAUGGACACAGUUAGUUGAUUAAAAUCACUAAUUUUCUUUCGUUCACUCGUUUUUUCUCUUUCUCA
rnacentral:lncRNA from 1 species